rnacentral:rRNA from 1 species
CAGAAAUGUACGUUAAUUAAUAUUUUACAUACCGUCGUCGUCAGAUUUCCUAAAAUAGGAAAUCCUAAUAUAUUAAUAUAAAAAGACAGAUCAAGGUGUAGACAAUAUUAAUGUCUAAGCGAGUUACUAUAAAAAAUUAUUUCAAUAAAAAUGUUUAACCAUUAUAUAUUGCCGGACUUAAAAGUAAUAAAUAA